rnacentral:rRNA from 1 species
GACGAACGCUGGCGGCGUGCUUAACACAUGCAAGUCGAACGGAAAGGCCCUGCUUUUGUGGGGUUCUCGAGUGGCGAACGGGUGAGUAACACGUGAGUAACCUGCCCUUGACUUUGGGAUAACUUCAGGAAACUGGGGCUAAUACCGGAUAGGAGCUCCUGCUGCAUGGUGGGGGUUGGAAAGUUUCGGCGGUUGGGGCUGGACUCGCGGCUUAUCAGCUUGUUGGUGGGGUAGUGGCUUACCAAGGUUUUGACGGGUAGCCGGCCUGAGAGGGUGAACGGGCACAUUGGGACUGAGAGACGGCCCAGACUCCUACGGGAGGCAGCAGGGGGGAAUAUUGCACAAUGGGCGGAAGCCUGAGGCAGCAACGCCGCGUGCGGGAUGACGGCUUUCGGGUUGUAAACCGCUUUCGCCUGUGACGAAGCGUGAGUGACGGUAAUGGGUAAAGAAGCAACGGCUAACUACGUG